UGCAUCGUCCGGGAGCGAACCCGGGUCAACUGUUUGGAAGUUAGCUAUGCUAACCGUCAUACCAUCAAUGC